rnacentral:tRNA from 1 species
AGGGAUUUAGCUCAGCGGCAUAAGCGCCUGCCUUGCAAGCAGGCAGUCGUGAGUUCGAUUCCCAGUACUGA